UACGGAGGAUGCGAGCGUUAUCCGGAUUUAUUGGGUUUAAAGGGUGCGCAGGCGGAGGUGCAAGUCAGUGGUCAAAUUGCGGGGCUCAACCCCGUACUGCCGUUGAAACCGGAGCGCUAGAAUUCCGAUGCCGUCGGAGGAAUGUGUGGUGUAGCGGUGAAAUGCAUAGAUAUCACACAGAACACCGAUUGCGAAGGCAUCUGACGAAUCGGAGAUUGACGCUGAUGCACGAAAGCGUGGGUAUCGAACAGG
rnacentral:rRNA from 1 species